rnacentral:rRNA from 1 species
UGAAUACGAGACGCUAAGGCGUCGAAGUAGUGUAUGUCAUACUUCCAAGAAAAGCUUGCACUGUCAUAGAUAAAAAACGCCUGUACCAUAACCGACACAGGUGGGUAGGUAGAGUAUACUAAGGGGCGCGAGAUAACUCUCUCUAAGGAACUCGGCAAAAUAACUCCGUAACUUCGGGAGAAGGAGUGCCUUAUUCGUAAGGUUGCAAUAACAAGAUCCAAGCAACUGUUUAUCAAAAACACAGGUCUCCGCUAAGUCGUAAGACGAUGUAUGGGGGCUGACGCCUGCCCAGUGCCAGAAGGUUAAAGAAGUUGGUUAGCAAUUGCGAAGCUGAUAACUGAAGCCCUGGUGAACGGCGGCCGUAACAAUAACGGUCCUAAGGUAGCGAAAUUCCUUGUCGGGUAAGUUCCGACCCGCACGAAAGGCGUAAUGAUUUGGAUACUGUCUCGGAGAGGGGCUCGGUGAAAUAGACUUGUCUGUGAAGAUGCGGACUACCUGCACCAGGACAGAAAGACCCUAUGAAGCUUUACUGUAACUUGAAAUUGAAAUUGGACUUUAUUCGCGCAGUAUAGGUGGGAGGCGUUGAUUAUAAUCUUGUGGGAUUAUUGGAGCCAUCAGUGAGAUACCACUCUUGUAAUGUUAGAUUUCUAACUUUGAAUCAUUAUCUGAUCAAAGAACAGUUUCAGGCGGGCAGUUUGACUGGGGCGGUCGCCUCCUAAACGGUAACGGAGGCGUACAAAGGUUUCCUCUGAACGGUUAGAAAUCGUAUCUAGAGUGUAAAGGCAUAAGGAAGCUUGACUGAGACCUACAAGUCGAGCAGGGACGAAAGUCGGUCUUAGUGAUCUGACGGUACUGAGUGGAAAGGCCGUCACUCAACGGAUAAAAGUUACUCUAAGGAUAACAGGCUGAUCUCCCCCAAGAGUUCACAUCGACGGGGAGGUUUGGCACCUCGAUGUCGGCUCAUCGCAUCCUGGGGCGGUAGUACGUCCCAAGGGUUGGGCUGUUCGCCCAUGAAAGCGGUACGUGAGCUGGGUUCAGAACGUCGUGGGACAGUUCGGUCCAUAUCCGGUGUAGGCGUUAGAAUAUUGAGAGGAGCCUUCUUUAGUACGAGAGGACCGAGAAGGACAUACCUCUGGUGUACCAGUUAUCGUGCCAACGGUAAACGCUGGGUAGCUAUGUAUGGAGUGGAUAACCGCUGAAAGCAUCUAAGUGGGAAGCCCACCUCAAGAUAAGUAUUCUCAC